AUCAUGACGCCUGCUUCGGCCAGCCAGCGAUUGAUGGUCUUGAACAAUUGACGGGCCAGUUGAUGCUGCUCGAGCAGGUGGCGGAAAUUCAUGAUGGUGGUGCGAUCCGGCAGGGCGCUAUCCAGGGAUAAUCGGGCAAACAGGCGCA
rnacentral:rRNA from 1 species